AUUGAACGCUGGCGGCAGGCCUAACACAUGCAAGUCGAGCGAGCGGCGCACGGGUGAGUAAUGUAUGGGGCUUUGCCCGAUAGAGGGGGAUAACUACUGGAAACGGUGGCUAAUCCCGCAUACUAUCGGUUGCACCCUGAUGGGAUUGGCUAGUAGGUGGGGUAAAGGCUCACCUAGGCGACGAUCUCUAGCUGGUCUGAGAGGAUGAUCAGCCACACUGGGACUGAGACACGGCCCAGACUCCUACGGGAGGCAGCAGUGGGGAAUAUGGCACAAUGGGCGAAAGCCUGAUGCAGCCAUGCCGCGUGUAUGAAGAAGGCCUUAGGGUUGUAAAGUACUUUCAGCGGGGAGGCGUUACCCGCAGAAGAAGCACCGGCUAACUCCGUGCCAGCAGCCGCGGUAAUUC
rnacentral:rRNA from 1 species